GCGCGGUUAGCUCAGUUGGUAGAGCAACCCGUUUACACCGGGAAGGUCUUAGGUUCAAGUCCUAAACCGCGCA
rnacentral:tRNA from 1 species